rnacentral:rRNA from 1 species
AGGGAAUCUUCGGCAAUGGACGGAAGUCUGACCGAGCAACGCCGCGUGAGUGAGGAAGGUCUUCGGAUCGUAAAGCUCUGUUGCCAGGGAAGAAGGAUCUGCAGAGUAACUGCUGUGGAUUUGACGGUACCUGAGAAGAAAGCCCCGGCUAACUACGUGCCAGCAGCCGCGGUAAUACGUAGGGGGCAAGCGUUGUCCGGAAUUAUUGGGCGUAAAGCGCGCGCAGGCGGUUCUUUAAGUCUGGUGUUUAAGCCCAGGGCUCAACCUUGGGACGCACUGGAAACUGGGGGACUGGAGUGCAGGAGAGGAAAGUGGAAUUCCACGUGUAGCGGUGAAAUGCGUAGAGAUGUGGAGGAACACCAGUGGCGAAGGCGACUUUCUGGCCUGUAACUGACGCUGAGGCGCGAAAGCGUGGGGAGCAAAC